rnacentral:rRNA from 1 species
GAUCAUGGCUCAGGAUGAACGCUAGCGACAGGCUUAACACAUGCAAGUCGAGGGGCAGCAUAAAAGUAGCAAUACUUUGGUGGCGACCGGCGCACGGGUGAGUAACGCGUAUGCAACCUACCUAUCAGAGGGGAAUAACCCGGCGAAAGUCGGACUAAUACCGCAUAAAACAGGGGCACCGCAUGGUGAUAUUUGUUAAAGAAAUUCGCUGAUAGAUGGGCAUGCGUUCCAUUAGGUAGUUGGUGAGGUAACGGCUCACCAAGCCGACGAUGGAUAGGGGAACUGAGAGGUUGGUCCCCCACACUGGUACUGAGACACGGACCAGACUCCUACGGGAGGCAGCAGUGAGGAAUAUUGGUCAAUGGGCGGGAGCCUGAACCAGCCAAGUCGCGUGAAGGAAGAAGGAUCUAUGGUUCGUAAACUUCUUUUGCAGGGGAAUAAAGUGCAGGACGUGUCCUGUUUUGUAUGUACCCUGAGAAUAAGGAUCGGCUAACUCCGUGCCAGCCGCCGC